UGUAAGCGUAUACCAAAGUUGUUGCAGUUAAAACGCUCGUAGUCGGAAUUUGGCAGUUCCGGAUGUGUGCACGUCGUGUGCGCACUUCGCGGGGAUUGCUUUUGUGUCUUGCGUAGGAUGAGGCACUUUUAUUAGUGAACGUCCUCACGCAACCACUUUUUACUGUGAGAAAAUCAGAGUGCUCAAAGCAGGCAUUUGCCGUGAAUGUAUUAGCAUGGAAUAAUAGAAUAGGACUUGGUUCUAUUUUGUUGGUUUGUUGGGACUGAGUAAUGAUUAAGAGGGACAGUUGGGGGCAUUUGUAUUUCGGUGCUAGAGGUGAAAUUCUUAGAUUACCGAAAGACAAACUGCUGCGAAAGCGUCUGCCAAGGAUGUUUUCAUUGA
rnacentral:rRNA from 1 species